rnacentral:tRNA from 1 species
GUUUCUGUAGUGUAGUGGUUAUCACGUUUGCUUUACACGCGAAAGGUCCCUGGUUCGAAACCGGGCGUAAACA